GAGACUCCUCGAUAAAUGAUCCCCAUCCGAGCUUCUAUGAAGAUCGGACUCCGACCGAACUUCGACCGAUAGGCCUGGACCCCCUAGCAGGCCGCAGUAACAGCCACGACUCUGCUCCACUUCCUGCAACAGAUUCCGUGCGGCUCCAUCACUCCUUGGUAGACCACAAUAAUGGCCACGAUCCUGCUCCACUUCCUGCGAUGGAUACCACACGGUUCCUCCACCCUUUGGCAAGUUGCGACAACGGACGUCGCUCCACUCCCCGCAA
rnacentral:lncRNA from 1 species